rnacentral:rRNA from 1 species
CCUACGGGAGGCAGCAGUGAGGAAUAUUGGUCAAUGGACGAGAGUCUGAACCAGCCAAGUAGCGUGAAGGAUGACUGCCCUAUGGGUUGUAAACUUCUUUUAUAUGGGAAUAAAAUGUUCCACGUGUGGGCUUUUGUAUGUACCAUAUGAAUAAGGAUCGGCUAACUCCGUGCCAGCAGCCGCGGUAAUACGGAGGAUCCGAGCGUUAUCCGGAUUUAUUGGGUUUAAAGGGAGCGUAGGUGGAUUGUUAAGUCAGUUGUGAAAGUUUGGGGCUUAACCGUAGAAUUGCAGUUGAAACUGGCAGUCUUGAGUACAGUAGAGGUAGGCGGAAUGCGUGGUGUAGCGGUGAAAUGCUUAGAUAUCACGAAGAACUCCGAUUGCGAAGGCAGCUCACUGGACUGCAACUGACGCUGAGGCUCGAAAGUGUGGGUAUCAAACAGGAUUAGAUACCCCAGUAGUC